rnacentral:rRNA from 1 species
UACGUAGGUGGCAAGCGUUGUCCGGAUUUACUGGGCGUAAAGCGUAUGCAGGCGGAUACUUAAGUAGGACGUGAAAGGUGGGAGCUCAACUCCCACAUUGCCCCCUAUACUGGGUGUCUUGAGUGGCGGAGAGGGAGAUGGAACGACACGUGUAGCGGUGAAAUGCGUUGAUAUGUGUCGGAACACCAAUGGCGAAAGCAAUCUCCUGGACGCAAACUGACGCUGAGAUACGAAAGCCAAGGUAGCAAACAGG